UCAAUCUUGUACUACAUGCAAUUUAGCAUCUGAGUAGGCUACACCACUAAGAUAUUUAGAAGGGUAGGGUCAACAGUCUUCUCGUCUAAUGCAAAAUGUUUCUUAAUUUCAACAGGCCAUAGUAGAACAUCUAGAGGAUUUAUCAAUAGCCAUAGAGAGACCAGAAAAAAGUAGUAUUAGGGAGGAAGAGGAGAAAAAUAUGGUCGAAGCAGAAGAUUUGCAGAUCUCAGAAGUUGCCACUACUGCUCUGUCACAAGAUAAACUGGAAGAAAUUGCUGAUUGUCAGGAAUCAUCCAGGACCAGUGAUAGUGAUUCCAACAUUCAUCUCCGGAAAAGACUUCCUAAUACUUCUGAGGAGGAAACCUGUGGUGAAAACAAGAAGAUGACAGACAUGGAUGAAAAUCCAUUAAAUGUCAGGAAGCAAAAGGACUCGGAAGCAAGUGAGACUCCAACACCAACUCAUGAGAUUACGAUUGCCGAGCAGCCAGAGCUAUUCCACUUCAUCAUUUUCUUCUGGGUGCUGGUCUACUGCCUUUUACUCCUUCCACAGCUUCUUAGCAACAAAGUUUGAUCUCUGUGAGGGUUGGAAAAAUAAAGGACGGUGGCUGGAUUGCUUUGUGUAUCUGCAUAUGAAUAUGUUCCUUCAGGUGAAGCACAAACAGAAAUGUAGGACCUGGUAUUUGUGUUUAUUAUCAGGUUGUCCUCGAUUCCUCUGCUGUUGUGCUAUGACAGUGUCUAAGCACAUUUUAUAUUAUGAUAAUUGUGUAAAUAUAUAUAAAAAUGACCUGAUUUAG
rnacentral:lncRNA from 1 species